rnacentral:rRNA from 1 species
AGCGAACGCUGGCGGCAGGCUUAACACAUGCAAGUCGAGCGGGCGUAGCAAUACGUCAGCGGCAGACGGGUGAGUAACGCGUGGGAACAUACCUUUUGGUUCGGAACAACACAGGGAAACUUGUGCUAAUACCGGAUAAGCCCUUACGGGGAAAGAUUUAUCGCCGAAAGAUUGGCCCGCGUCUGAUUAGCUAGUUGGUGAGGUAAUGGCUCACCAAGGCGACGAUCAGUAGCUGGCUGAGAGGAUGAUCAGCCACAUUGGGACUGAGACACGGCCCAAACUCCUACGGGAGGCAGCAGUGGGGAAUAUUGGACAAUGGGCGCAAGCCUGAUCCAGCCAUGCCGCGUGAGUGAUGAAGGCC